rnacentral:rRNA from 1 species
AGUGAACGCUGGCGGUAGGCCUAACACAUGCAAGUCGAACGGCAGCACAGUAAGAGCUUGCUCUUACGGGUGGCGAGUGGCGGACGGGUGAGGAAUACAUCGGAAUCUACUUUUUCGUGGGAGAUAACGUAGGGAAACUUACGCUAAUACCGCAUACGACCUACGGGUGAAAGCAGGGGAUCUUCGGACCUUGCGCGAUUGAAUGAGCCGAUGUCGGAUUAGCUAGUUGGCGGGGUAAAGGCCCACCAAGGCGACGAUCCGUAGCUGGUCUGAGAGGAUGAUCAGCCACACUGGAACUGAGACACGGUCCAGACUCCUACGGGAGGCAGCAGUGGGGAAUAUUGGACAAUGGGCGCAAGCCUGAUCCAGCCAUACCGCGUGGGUGAAGAAGGCCUUCGGGUUGUAAAGCCCUUUUGUUGGGAAAGAAAAGCAGCGGGUUAAUACCCCGCUGUUCUGACGGUACCCAAAGAAUAAGCACCGGCUAACUUCGUG